AUCAGAACUUUGUGUGAUACUUCAAUCUCCACAAUCUGAGUAUUGAUAAUGAUUUGAUGGCUGAAAAUGUCUGUGAUGUUCACUUACUCAUCCUAGAAUACCCCACCCUGACCCUACACAUGGAAGAUAAAGAUCUUCAAAAGCGUCUAUAUGAAAUUUGGGUUUCAAUAUUUGACAUAAUUGUGAGAGAUUUGUAAGGAGGAAGAAAGGAAAAGUUUUUAUUCGUGCUUGAUUCUCUUUGCACUGCUGCUGGAGUGGUGGUGGCAUGGAGUAAGAGAUCCCCAGGGAGACAUUCAGGAAUCGAUGAUCAAGGUCAUGUGGACCAGGAGCCCUUCCUUAUCAGGAGAUUCAUCUUGCAGAUUACACCUUGUGUUUCAGAAGAGAGACUGGAUUGCAAGAGUUCAAGAACAAUUUCUAUUUGAGAAUAUUGUGUCAGGAAUGGCUUUUAAAAUGCAUCAUAAUUUGAACAGAAUCACAAACAACGAGAUGAUUUUCCUAGGCAGACUGAUAUGUAAAAGAUUUUCCAGGAAGGAGAUCAGAGGAAGCAAAGACUUUAGAAAAUUGAAAUAAUCAAAAGCACUGAAAGCCAUAUUUCUGGAAAGACAAAAGUGUUUCACUUCACAGAUAGCUUUAAGGAAAGAGCAAUCAGAAGUAUAGCCAAGUAAUUUACAUUUCUUUAAUAUCAGAAAGGAAAAUAGCAUGACCUAGAAUAGUGGCUUUAUUUGGACUGCACAUUAAAAAGAUUUUAACAUGUUAAAUCUUAUAUAUUAAUAGAAAUGAAAGUUCAUCCAUUCACUUUUUCUUAGAAAUGCACAAGUAGUAGGGGAUUUCAUCAUGGCUGAGAGAAAAAUCUCGUAAUUUUGCACUCUUUUAAAUCAGAUACCCUUUAUUUUAAUCUUCAAAGCCAUUUUGAAUUUCGUGCGUUCUAGCUACAAGUGUUUGCCCCUUUGUAGGAAAUAUUUUUCUUUAGUCUAUGAUAUCUUAAUUGAGGUAGAACUUGGCACUCUGUAACAAAACUAGUAAUGUUUAGUAUGUCCAACCAGCCCCAAAAGCUAACAUGUCAUUUUCAUGGGGACAAAAUAAAUAUUUAAAAUAUGAUUAUUUCA
rnacentral:lncRNA from 1 species